AACUGCGAGUGAAGCGGGAAAAGCUCAAAUUUAAAAUCUGGCGGUCUCUGGCCGUCCGAGUUGUAAUUUAGAGAAGCGUCUUCCGCGCCGGACCGUGCACAAGUCUCCUGGAAUGGAGCGUCAUAGAGGGUGAGAAUCCCGUCUUUGGCACGGAUGCCUGUGCUUCUGCGAUGCGCUCUCAAAGAGUCGAGUUGUUUGGGAAUGCAGCUCAAAAUGGGUGGUGAACUCCAUCUAAAGCUAAAUAUUGGCGAGAGACCGAUAGCGAACAAGUACCGUGAGGGAAAGAUGAAAAGCACUUUGGAAAGAGAGUGAAACAGUACGUGAAAUUGUUGAAAGGGAAACGCUUGAAGUCAGUCGCGUCGACCGAGACUCAGCCUUGCCUUGGCUUGGUGUACUUCUCGGCCCGACGGGUCAGCAUCAAUUUUGCCCCUCGGAUAAUGGCAAGGGAAAGGUGGCACCUUUGCGGGUGUGUUAUAGUCUCCUGUCGCAUGCGAGGGGUGGGAUUGAGGAACUCAGCGCGCACCUUGGUGUCGGGGCUUCG
rnacentral:rRNA from 1 species